UAAAGACAGACUGAAACUGUUGUGUUUUUGGGGUGUCUGAGCCAUCCCCUGAUGGGGUGUGUGUUGGACUAAGACUAUAGUCAUCCAGAUGGCAGGCUACAGAGGGAUGAGCAUUAGACAAUUGGGCAACAUCAAAACCAGGCUGAAGAGAAACUUUGAAUUCCAUCUGGAGUGGCUAGGGUGGGAGGUUUGGAGCCCCACAGAAGAAGACAGAGAUCAAGACCUGAAGGAUCACCUUGGGGUAUUGCCUCCUAUUAACAUUGUACUAACAAAGUCAUAGCAGGAAAGAAAAAGUAAGAUCAAUGUCCUGGCAGACCAGGUGAUCUGAGGUUGAGGUCCAUCCUGUCACUGCCUGUAGGUAAAUGAACUCUCAGCAGUGGCAGUAAGCCUUAUAAUACCUACAGUCAUCACAUUGGUGCAUUGGCCGGGAAAGCAGAACCCACCCCAGGGGUAGAGAUGGAGUUAGAUCUGCCAAUAGGGGUCACAACAGGCGCAGAGGCCAUACAACAGACCUUGGGCCUGGUAGAACAGUUAUUACAGCAGCAGCAGCAACAGGCAGUCAGACAGAUGGUGGUAGAUGAGCAACUGAUGAGACAACAGGAGUUAAUACAGCGCAAUUUGGUGGAUUUAAAGGUACCAAAAAUGACAUUAGAGGAUGACCCCAAAGCAUUUUUAGAGCGUUUUGAAAGGGUUGCAGUGGAGGCAGGAUUAGUUCCAUCAAAGUGGGCAGCCAAGUUAGGAGUACUUUUAGUUGGACAGGCACAGGCGGCAUAUAGUAAUAUGUUACAAUUAGGUGUUCAAAAUUAUGAGAGGGUCAAAGAGGAAAUUUUAUUGUAUUUGGAUAUCACCCAAGAGAGAUAUGGACAAAUGUUCAGAGUGUGAAAAAAGAAAGAAGAGAAAACUCCUAGGGCUUUGCUACAGAGACUAGUGAUUUUACUGAAUAGGUGGCUUAAGCCGGCAGUCACAUCCUUGGAGGAGGUUGAUUGACACAGUCUUGUUAGAACAGUUCCUUACUGACCUAGAGGAAGGUACUCAGAGGUGGGUAAGGUGUCAUCGCCCCAAGACCUCUAGAGAGGCACUGUGAUUAGCAAAGGAUUUUGAUUGUGCAUAGGGGAAAGGGCCUUGAGAAAAAAUUGGUGGACCCAACAGUAGUAUGAGUGGUAGGACCAGAGAGCUCCAGGGGAAAUGUGACAGUAAAGGGCUUAACUAGGUAAUAGUGGCUGGAGUCACUUGCUUUAGAUGUGGUAAGAAAGGGCAUAUGGCUAGAGACUGCCCAAGUAACCCACGUCUAUAUAGUUCUGAAUUUUAUGUGCAGCAAGAAGGGAAAAAUGAGUCAAUGGGGGCACAGGAACCACCUCCAGUGGAGAUGAUGGAUUGUAGUUUCGGAAGAGUGCUAGGGGGAGGAUGAUGAGCUAAGUCAUCAGUGUUGACGGAGGUGGCUGGGCAAGUGGUCCAGGCAAUUAUAGAUACAGGGUGUGAUCAAACCUUGGUGCAAAAAGGGUUAAUAGCCCUAAGCGGAGGAGUGAAACUGACACCUAUCCAGUUGGUUUGCUUACAAGGACAAGGCUGCAUGUACCCAAGGAUGAGAGUGUGACUACCAGUAAAAGGGGUCACUCUGGAAUGGCCAGUAGAGAUAGCAGAUGACCUGUUGUACCCUAUGAUAUUAGGCCAAGAUUGGCCGGAGAUCGAUCAAUUGUUAGCAAAGGAACAGGAGCAAAUAGCCCCCAGGGAAGGCCUUAUAGGUGAGGAAGAUGCAGAGGGAUCAGAAAGGGAGGACUCUGAUCUAUGGGAUAUAAGUACGUUCACAGGUGGAGCGUAAUUCCGGGAAGCCGAACAGGAAGAGCCAACAUUUUGAGCCAUGUGGGAGUCAGAGAUUGCCGAAAGAGAGCAACAGGUAAUAUGCCCAGAACUGUGUGAUCAACUGCUGUGUUGCGAGGUUUUGUGCAAGUUGAUCUCCCCACCAUCCCGCUCGAUGCCAACAGCCUGGUGUGUGGCGAGUCAAACUGUCAAGCUGAAGGUCACCACAGCAGGAAGACAGUGCCUUGGACUGGCAUUUCUGCCAUGGCUCAUCACUGAUCUAGCUCAACUUGCCAACAUCUGGCUUCCAUGGACUCUGCUCUGCUAAGUAUACUGAUUCCUCCAAUUCCUCAACAUGGGGCACUGGUGUUGCAGGGGGACCCGGGAUGGAGACAGUCCUUCCCUGCAAGAAAAGCCAGGGCGAACUUACCUGUUUCAGGCCAGGAAGAGACAGGCAAGCCGCACCAACAUGGACCACCUGGUAGGUUUGUGAGCUGUGUUUAUUUCCAGUUAAAAGCAUCGUGGCUGGAUGAUGUAAUCUCAGGAUGCCGCCCAGACUGAAUAAAAACUGGUGGCAAAAAGACUGUGGUGGAA